ACAUCAUGCUGUCAGUGUUAAUGAUUCUCUACCAAGUCAGCUCGUGUUUGGGAAGUGCAAGUAUGCUUUGUCUCUCCAAACUGGAGCGAUUUCCUUCGACUUCGAUGGAUAGCGUGUGAAUGCUCCGUCAGACUAAUUGCAUCAUGGUGAAUUACGAGUGAUAGCAUGAUGGGUCGCGAAACAAACAUCUUUACAGAUCUUCGGGUAUGAAGUUCUCCAAAAAAGGAGAGGUUUGCUGAUCUUAUUUGAAUACGUGGAGUAUGCCUUCCAGUAUUUCAACAACGAUUUCCGGUGUUUCAGUCUCAGCCGAACCCAUGUUUGAAUAAGACAAUGUUGAAAAUUCUCUACCAGAAUCCCCUUAUCAGAAAAUAAACUCUACAUGAUUUUUGUGUAAGGUGAUUUCUCUUUACGUUUAUAGAACGUACAAAAUAAAAUGUGUUCCACAAAUCAAAAGGCAAGCUGUCCAUCGCAAUUCAGGGCAAUUCGUAUUGCAAUCGCUCCACCUCCUGAAGAAAACGGGGCCAAAGAAUUUCGUUCGCAUAUUUCACCAUAAAUCCUUAUAGAGAAUGAAAGAAAUGCAACUUGAACCAAUUACCUAACGUUCCAACAACCGCGGUCUGUCAGCACGCCAUGACACAAAAGACUAAACUCAUACGAAAUAUCUUCCAGCCCAUUACAAAGUCAUUUCUCAAACUACUGCCUUGAGUCAAAAUUAUUUCCCUAAAGAAACAUCUCCAUUAGUACCACCUUUAUUAAAUAAAUUUACCAGCAUUAUCUUAAGUUUUUUCAGUCGUUUUUAAGCUUAACUCUACAAUAAAAAUAUGUAAAGUUUUUUUAUAAAA